GGCAAACGGGUGCGGAACACGUACGCAACCUUCCCAAAACAGGUGAAUAGCCCUCCGAAAGGAGGAUUAAUACACCGUACCAUAAUGAGGUGGCAUCACUUUAUUAUUAUAGGUCGCAAGAUCGGUUUUGGAUGGGCGUGCGCCUGAUUAGGUAGUUGGCGGGGUAACGGCCCACCAAGCCUCCGAUCAGUAACUGGUGUGAGAGCACGACCAGUCACACGGGCACUGAGACACGGGCCCGACUCCUACGGGAGGCAGCAGUAAGGAAUAUUGGUCAAUGGACGGAAGUCUGAACCAGCCAUGCCGCGUGCAGGAUGAAGGCCCUCUGGGUUGUAAACUGCUUUUAUCUGGGACGAAAAAAGGGCUUUAUAGCUCACUUGACGGUACCAGAGGAAUAAGCACCGGCUAACUCCGUGCCAGCAGCCGCGGUAAUACGGAGGGUGCAAGCGUUAUCCGGAUUUACUGGGUUUAAAGGGUGC
rnacentral:rRNA from 1 species